UGCCCAGCAACUCUUAUCCCUACCUACUCGUGGUACUGGCUGGGGUACGAGUAACCUUAGGAAAG
rnacentral:ribozyme from 1 species